ACUAGGGAUCGGGCCCAGUUUCAAACCGACUUCGCUCGCACCNUAAGAGAAGUCAAAGUUUUGGGUUCUGGNGNGAGUAUGGUCGCAAGGCUGAAACUUAAAGGAAUGACGGAAGGCACCACCAGGAUNGAGCCUGCGGCUAAUUUGACUCNACACGGGGAAACUCACCAGGUCCAGACACAGUAAGGACUGACAGAUUGAGAGCUCUUUCUUGAUUCUGUGA
rnacentral:rRNA from 1 species